AUGAAGCCAUCAGGCAUUUCUCCCUCUUUUUCUCGCCACCUUGCCCCACUGCUUGUGCUCUUGCUGCACCAAGCUCAUCUGCUUGUAGCAAACAAGCUCGCGGGAGGGUCGAUUCUCAGGCCACCAAACUACAUCACCUGCUCAUCCGGGGAGUACGCCUUCGGCUUCCGUGCCCUCGGCGACGACCCUAGCCGGUUCCUCCUCGCCGUCUGGUUCAACUUCAACUUCACCCAAGCGGCUGACCCUGCGGAGCAGAGGGUGGUGUGGUACGCGAAAGACCCAGACUCAGGCUCGGCCAUCACGGUCACAGGGCUAUCCGUAUUCAGCAUCAAUGAUCAGCUCUACCUCGACGACACCACAUCUGGUAGAAUUUGGAAAAACCAGAACCCUAACUUACAGUAUGGCUCUGACCUCGUGCUCCAGGACUCGGGCAACCUCCAGUUCCUCGCCUUUGGGGGAAGCACUGUCAUGUGGGAGAGCUUUCGGUAUCCGACCGAUACGCUCCUCCCAGGGCAGUCCAUGGGCUCUGGAGAAGCCCUUCAUUCGAAGCGCUCGGACACGGAUUUCUCCCGUGGCCGCUUCGGCCUGUACAUGCAGGCCGACGGCAACAUUGUCUUGUACCUCGCUGCCGACAACAUUGGCAGCAACCUUGCUGCCGGCAGCCUGAAAUCGGACAAUGCUUAUUGGGGGAGCGGCACCUACCAAUCCGGCAACACCCAAGACGGCAACACGACCCUUUUCUUCGACUCACCGGGGUAUCUCUAUUACCAUAUCAAGGACGGCAGUGUGCAAGACCUGAUACCUCUAUUUCCAAACUCCACCUCCAGUUACCACCAAUACGCAACACUCGAUCCAGACGGCGUCAUCCGCGUCUACACCCGGCCGAAGAAUGCCGCUGGGGGAAGGAGCAACGUGUCGUGGGCAGUCACUGGCUUAUUCCCAAGUGAAGGUUGCAGCAGGAGCACCGCUUUGCAAGGUUUCUGCGGCCCCAAUUCCUACUGCGUGCACGGCCCAAAUGGCCGUCUCGAUUGCAAGUGUCCAAGCGGCUACUCUUUCCUUGAUGCGCAGCUCAAGCACAGAGGAUGCACUCAGGAGUUUGUACCGCAAAGCUGUGAUGGGAACAACCACUCCGCCGAGUUUGGAGUUGUCAAGAUGCCCAACACCAAUUGGACAAACUUGCCGUACGAAAGAUAUCCGUACACCACAGUCACAGAGGACCAGUGUAGAGACUUCUGCCUUAGCGACUGCCUGUGCACAGCGGCUCUAUUUCAUGGACCGUACUGUGCUAAGAUGGCGUCAUUGACAGGUGCCGGACAGCAGGGAGGAAAUGUCAGCAUGAACGUGUUGAUCAAGGUGAGGACAAGCAGCCCCUCGGUGCCGGCAUCACUGAGAAGGAUAUUGCCUUAUGUACUACUCGGUUGCUCGGCGUUCCUGUUGUUGUCGGCAGCAGGUAGUCUCAUGUUACAUUGCUACCUCAGAAAAAAGACCGCCAACCAUGACUUUGUGAGGGCUUACACUGCAAAAGAGCUUUACAAAGCCACCAAUGGCUUUCAUAGGUUGCUAGGCAGAGGAGGCUUUGGCGAGGUCUACUAUGGGGUGUUGAAGUCGCUACACUACCCUGAGAUAGCAGUGAAGAAGCUCAUCAGCUCCAAUGAUUACAGCGAGAGGGAGUUUGGGAAUGAGGUACAGUCCAUCGGCCAGAUCCACCAUAGGAAUCUAGUCCGCAUGGUUGGUUACUGCAAAGAGCGGGCUCAACGGAUGUUGGUGUUCGAGUUCAUGCCAGGUGGUUCCCUUCGGAGCUUCCUUUUCCAACCUCAGCAGCAACCGAUGUGGAGUUGGCGCGCUGAGGCAGCGCUCGGCAUUGCCAAGGGCAUGGAGUACUUACAUGAAGGAUGCAAUUAUCCAAUCAUCCACUGUGACAUCAAGCCCGACAAUAUAUUGUUAGAUAGCAAGAAAAAUCCGAAGAUUACUGACUUUGGGAUUGCCAGGCUUCUUAGUGACCAGCAGAUGCACACCACGGUGACCAACAUCAGGGGCACGAGGGGCUAUAUUGCCCCCGAGUGGUUCCAAAGCGACAGGCGCAUCGACACCAAGGUUGAUGUUUACAGCUUCGGUGUUGUGCUACUAGAGAUGAUAUGCUGCCGAAAGUCCCAGGAGCCAGUGCCUGGUCAGGAUGGUGAUGACUCGGUCAUGCUAUUCGAGUGGGCCGGUCAGUUGGUUGGUGAUGGCAGGACUGAGGUUCUCUUUCAUAGCGAUGACGACGCCAUUGAGGAUUUGUUCAGAGUGGAGAGGUUCUUGCGUGUUGCUCUCUGGUGCAUUGAGCAGAAUCCUUCGCUCCGUCCGACAAUGCAUCAGGUUGUUCAGAUGCUGGAGGGUGUGAUUGAGGUCGACACUCUACCUGCGCCUACAAGCUCCAACUGUUCAUCGCCGUUGACCUCUUCAGUCGACGAGAGCCCUCUGUUGCCAGGUGGUGCUACUCUUGCGAUAGAGUGA
rnacentral:rRNA from 1 species